UUACCUUAAAAAAAUAUUCGGAUUUGUAUGCGGUUGCUAAAUAAGCAGCAGUAUUUGCCUCGACUACAUCAUCUGUAGCUAGUUAUAUCCUAACUCUUAGUAUGGUCCAUUCUCAUAACCUUCAUCUUCCACAACUUCUUCUGUAUAUACAAAUCUCUUAGCUUUAGGUUUACUAAAAAUACUCCAUCCUUAAUUGAAAACAUCAUCACAUAGUACACCAUAUUUAUGCUUGAGAUACUUAGAUGUAAGGCUCAUGUAGUCACCCUCAAUCUCGAGUUAUUAUAUAAAAAGUCGGAGUUUAUUUUCUUUUUCCAAAUAAAUAAAACAUCAGUAGCAUACAAAUAAUUUACUUGCCUAAUGAUCUUUAUAUGCUAGAAUUAUUCAAAUUUGAAGGAAUAUAUAAAAUAUGUUCAAAAACUUAUGCGAGUCGUCGAUUACAACAAAAUGAGUCAACUUACCUGAUAGCGGAUUUGAAAUUACACCAUGUCCAGUACUCUUAGAAACAUGCACAUCUGCAAUAAUGAUAUAAUGCAAGAUAUUUUACUAAAGGAAAUUUUCAUUUGAAGUAAUUCAUUUUCUAAGGAAAGUGAAGAACUAAACUACUAAAGUAUGAGCUAGAGAAGGAAAAAUUUGUCACCAUAAUAAGUAAAAGAGAAGCAUUCAUUAAAGACCAUGUACUGUCUUGAUAUUCCUGAAUAUGGAAAUGAGAAAAAUGUUAGGAAGUCCCUGACUGAAUAAUCCGCUUUAUGUUCUCCCAUCAGCGCCGGCUCUAACGUGAUGAGGGGUAAGGCAUAGGCCUUAGGCCUGCAAAUAUUGGGGUGGGGGGCAUUUUUUAAAAAGAAUAGGCUUAUAGGUAUUUUAAAAAUGAUAUUUAGUACUUCUAAUAAAAAAUUAAAGUUGUUAAUAUAAGAGAAAAUAGAGCUCUUUUAGAUAUGUAAAUAAAGUAAUAAUUUGACAUAUUCAAAAUGAAUUGAUGUACAGUUUUCUCAACGUUUUAGUUUUACUCCUUUAUUAGAUAAUGUAUAAAAAAAUUCACUCUCCCUUUCUUAAUAUGUCCAAGUCAAUCUUUCUUUUCUCCAAUAUAAUUAUAUUUCAGAAACUCCUAUAUAUUUUCUGUCUUUCUCUUUAAUAUUCUUACUCAGUUGCUUUCUCCGAUAUUUCAUUACUCACUUUCUUUCUACAAGAUUUCAUUAUCUUCACUGUUUAACAAUAUUUUUAAGCUUCCAAUAAUUAUAUACUUCUAUUUCUCUAUAAAGUAUUAUCUAAUGUCAACAAUAUCUCAAGAAAGAUUAAAUGAGCUGGCUAUAUUAUCAAUUGAAUAAAGAUACUUAGAGAAAGUAUAAAUUAUUAACAACUUUGUAUUACAAAAAAUUAUAAGAACAUAUUUCAAAUAAAAAUGUAUACUAUAAAUUUCUUUUAAAUUUUUAGGCCUCAUAUUAAACUUUGGCCUUAGGCUCCGUAUAUCCUUGAGCGGAGCCCAUGUCUCACAUAUUAUAUUAAUUUGUGGGUCAAUCAAUUUCAACAUCAUACAAUAGAGGUAUUAAACAGAUAAUAUGGAGGGGACAUGUUGUGGGGUGUAACAGUUCAAGUAUAUAACCAACGAACAAAGAAAUGGAACUGAAUAAUUAACAUCAAUAAAAGAGAGCCAGUAAAUCGACAAUUGCACGGCACCAACCUUCGUGCUUUUACUCUCAAUUCUCACCAAAACUGUCAAAUAUAGAGCACGACAUCACCCUUCGUGCUUUCCUCACAUACUCUCACAUCAAGGCACGGAAUGAUCCUUCGUGCUCAAAUAAUAAAGAAACAUGGUACGGAAAGACCCUUCGUGCAUAAUUAUCAAGACAUGGCACGGAAAGACCAUUCGUGCAUAAUUAUCAAAACAUGGCACGGAAAGACCCUUCGUGUCGUGCUCAAAUAAUCAAGAAACAUGGAACGGAAAGGCCCUUCAUGCAUAAUUAUCAAAACACGGCACGGAAAAGCCCUUCGUGUACAAUCUCUCUUCCUCACCCAAUCACCGGUCACAACCAAUCGGGAAAACGAAUAUGCAACAAGAUUAAACAUCCCGGCAACGGAGAACAAUUCAACAAUAAGUCUCGGCAAGGGAAAACGAAUCAACAACAAGUUCGGCAAGGGAAAGAUACCACACUUCCUUCUUUAACUCAUUCGCUUCUCAACUAUCACUUUGUAAUUCAUUUAACAAGUAAUUAACUCAAUUGUUUCGCCUCUUUCGAAUUUAAAAGCAACUACGACUCACGGUCAUGCUAGAAUCGGGCGCAUAGGUAACCGUCAUCAUACCUAUACACCGACUCCAUAUAGCACAUAGCAAAUAUUGUACUAAUCUUAUUUCCUCAAACCAAAGUUAAAACAAACACUUACCUCGAAAGCUCUAAACUCAACUCACGCCUCUAGGAUAGUUUUACCCCUCGAAUUUGCCACAAAAUCGGUCGAAUCUAAUCAAAAUUUACUCAAAUGUAUCAACAAAUGCUAGUUAAAACAAUUUGAAUGCAUAAGAAUGAAUUUCCCAAAGUUUUACCUAAAAUUUCCCAAAGUGCCCCGGGGCCCACAUGGUAAAAACCGGGGUUCAAACUAAAAUCAGGUUAUCCAUUCCCCCACGAGUUCAUAUAUGUAAUUUGUUUUGAAUUCGGACCUAAACUGAGGUCCAAAUCCCUCAUUUUAAGAAAAUCUAGGUUCUACCCCAAGUCCCCAUUUUUACCCAUUAAAAGCUUUGAUUUUAAGAUGAAAUCAUGAUAAAACAUGUUAAAGAUUAAAGAAAUUGAGUGAAAGUUGACUUACAAUUGAUUUGGGAAAGAAUGAAUUAAGAGAAAAUCAACAAUGGAGGUUUGAGUUUUGAAAAUGUGAAGAAUGAAGUUUAAAACCGUCUAAGUAUAGAAUGCACAAGUGCAGAUAUAGCAAUUGCGAAGAUUUGUUCGCAAUUGCGAACUUAGCAGAAGAAAGGCGGAUCUCGCAAUUGCGAGAAAAUGUUCACAAUUGCGAACAAGACAGAAUUUGGGCAGAACUCGCAUUUGCGAGGGAAAGUUCGCAUUUGCAAAAUCAUGACUUAAGCUGGGCAAUCGCAUUUGCGAAGACCGGGCUGGUAGGAAGGGGAUCGCAUUUGCGAGUUUUUCUUCACAUUUGCGAGUUUUUCUUCGCAUUUGCGAUAAGAGCAGGCCAGGGGGGAUCUCGUAUUUGCGAGGGUGGCUUCGCAAAUGCAAAGCCCGCAGAUACCAACUGCUCCAACGUAACAAAAUGAACCUAACACCUAUCCAAAACUCACCUGAGCCCUCGGAGCUCCAACCCAAAUAUGCACACAACCUCAAAAAUAUCCUACGGACUUACUCGUGCGAUCAAAUCGAGACAACCAAAUAAAAGGUUUUCAAAGUCUCAUAAGCACAAAAAAAGAAAAAAUUACGGUGAUAACUCCUUUGGGUCAUCAUACUAAUGGUCUUCCCUCGAAUGUCAACACUCUUUAAAAAAGAGAAUAAAUUUCAAGCUAGAUUGUCCAUAAUGGUUUCAUUACUGGUUCAAGCAAUAACUAAAACUGAAAACCCAAAUUCUACUAUUACUGAGAUAAAGAAAAUAAAUAUUAAAAAAAAAGGAAAAGAAAAAAAAUCACCUUUAGAUGAGCAAUGACAUUCUGAAGUUGAUUCGCCCAAAUGGAUACUUCACUUCAGAAAUUCCCAAGACUUAAUAAAUACCAUAAAUCGUAUUCCUAGCCUGAAAACACCUUAAAAAAACUACUUAAAUUGAAACAAUGGAGCAAGACAAAAGACAUAAUCCGUGAUUCAAAAAUCAGAGCAGGAGCCAUAAAUUAGAGAAGAAGAAUAAUACUUACAAAAUGUAACUAAUAUGGACAGAAAAAUGAGAGAAAACGCAUCUGAAGGGAAGCACUCCACUAGAGAAGAAGCAGCUCAGCCGAAGGGUUGAAAAGGGAAAACCUAGGGCUAGAGGCAUAAUGGAAUUAAAAGAGGGAAAGAUUCGGAAAAUAUUUUGUAAAAGGAGGGAGAACUU
rnacentral:lncRNA from 1 species